CGGGGAGCAAGGACGAGUCUGCUCGGUCUUCGAAGAAAUUCGUUCGACGCUUUCAAGAUUGGAGUCAUUUAAUUGGUCCUGAUCACCGGCAGGCUGGACACCACGACUGAGGGACGGAGACAACGAACUUUGUGCUUCAUGCACGAACGUUGAUGCGUGAAUUAGAGGAGCCUAGAUUGCACUUUACAGCUGGAUUACACAAGCAAGUUACGUCCAGGCGAUGUCGUAAAUGGGUGAGUCAAUCGUCUACUGUGGUUUGUGUUACAUUCUGCGGAAGAAACGGAAGUUGGGGAAGAACAGCAAUCCAAAGAUGUGGAAAAGAUAGAGAAGCGUGACCACAGAGCAGCUGCAAUGGUGAAAGAGAGAUGCAGUGAUCAUCGUUCAUCCAUAUACGUUGUGCCCCGUGUGUUCGGCGUUUGUGCAUCAUGACAAUGCACGCUCGCGAUC